GGUGCUCCAGAAUCGGCGAUUUCUCCUCCAUUGCGAACGCCCUGCACGCCAUGGAUAGAUCUGGCCAGCUCAACGCCUGGUGCGUCAUGCUCAAUGCCAUUUUCUUUGUAGCCAAACAGAAAUUAAGCCCCAAAGGUUAACAGGAUUUGAGGUGAUGGUUAAUGACGGUGGAGGUCGACUAGUGGCUAUGGUGGUGGCUGGGAGCCUGAGAUGAGAUACGGGGACUGUUGAGUUUUUUUAUCUUCACAAGUUUCUUUAUUUGUAAUUUUAUUUUAAUUCAAUCAUGUUUUUGUUCUUUUAUUUUCCAAAAUAAAUAAACUUAAUUUUGACCGAUC